UCCUAAAUGCAUCGCUGCAAUAGCGGGCAAAGAGGCUGAGAAGCACUCUCAGCAAGCAAGGUGGCCCGCAAACAUCCCAAAAAUUACCUUCCAUCAUCGAACCCCUUGUAAAGAACAAAGAGACGAUGGGAAAAACUUUGAUGGGAAAAACUUCGCUGCUGGCCAAAAAAUAUUUCCUAUAUCUCCUAUACCAAAGGUGACAUCAAGACAAGUAGUAAAAUGGGC
rnacentral:lncRNA from 1 species